AGAAUCGCGGUUGCUGGGAGCGCGCUCUGGCGGUGCCGCUUGGCCCGUGGAGACGUACGCUGCCGCGCUCCCGUCGCCUUAGGCCUGGGGCUUCCUCGGGUGUUUCCGGGUGGCCGACCUCCAAGUUACCCUCGAUCCCCUCUCCCUCAUCUCCAGAUACACUAGGGUUUCAUAACACCACUGCUGUUACUCCCAAACGCUGAUAGAGCCGUUUGCCCCAAAUAAGAUUUAGAUCGUAAACUUAUUACUUAAUCCUCGAGAACGGUUAGACUGGAACUAAAGCAUCGUGUUUACAGACGAGCUUCAGAGUUGCUCCCAAGGUCACUGAGCUGUGGGUGACAAAACUGCCACCAGAUUGUGCCCGCCCGCGUCUCACACUACGGAAAAGCCCGAUCCUGGAAAGUCGGUCCAACUCUGGCUGGUUUCCCGCCUCUCACCCAAACUGCAGGAUUUGGCAGAGAAGGGUGGCGUCAUCAUCCCGGACUCUUGAAAGGUUUAAUAGAAACUCAAACGCAAAUGAGACCGGCCAGGCCAUCUGGACGCUCACCUUUACCAAAUAACAGUAAAAAGAAAUUUCUGAGAAGAAUUAGUUUAAAUUCCGGGCCCCCAAACAAAUGCCAGGAAGGGAAAACAGAGCCUCAAGAAUAAUUCACUACUGGGAGAGAAAUACCGCAAUCGUGCUCGAAAAAUCGCUAACCCCUCCCUCUCUGGAACAGUGAGUCAAGCUACGAAGUUUGUCUGGUGUCGUGAAACCUACGCCCCUACUCCCCCCACCCGCUUCAGUGCUGUCUGACUUAUUGUUAAAAUUUAAAUUUGCUUUCAAGAAAAAGAAAACUAAUACCUUGUAUUUUCAGUCACAAAAAUGAAAAAGAUAUGCCAGUA